CCCGCGCCGUAUUAGCUAGUUGGUGGGGUAACGGCCUACCAAGGCGACGAUACGUAGCCGACCUGAGAGGGUGAUCGGCCACACUGGAACUGAGACACGGUCCAGACUCCUACGGGAGGCAGCAGUAGGGAAUCUUCCGCAAUGGGCGAAAGCCUGACGGAGCAACGCCGCGUGAGUGAUGAAGGUCUUCGGAUCGUAAAGCUCUGUUGUUAGGGAAGAACAAAUGUGUAAGUAACUGUGCACAUCUUGACGGUACCUAACCAGAAAGCCACGGCUAACUACGUGCCAGCAGCCGCGGUAAUACGUAGGUGGCAAGCGUUAUCCGGAAUUAUUGGGCGUAAAGCGCGCGUAGGCGGUUUUUUAAGUCUGAUGUGAAAGCCCACGGCUCAACCGUGGAGGGUCAUUGGAAACUGGAAAACUUGAGUGCAGAAGAGGAAAGUGGAAUU
rnacentral:rRNA from 1 species